GAUGAACGCUGGCGGCGUGCUUAACACAUGCAAGUCGAACGAUGAAGCCCAGCUUGCUGGGUGGAUUAGUGGCGAACGGGUGAGUAACACGUGAGUAACCUGCCCUUAACUCUGGGAUAAGCCUGGGAAACUGGGUCUAAUACCGGAUAGGAGCGUCCACCGCAUGGUGGGUGUUGGAAAGAUUUAUCGGUUUUGGAUGGACUCGCGGCCUAUCAGCUUGUUGGUGAGGUAAUGGCUCACCAAGGCGACGACGGGUAGCCGGCCUGAGAGGGUGACCGGCCACACUGGGACUGAGACACGGCCCGGACUCCUACGGGAGGCAGCAGUGGGGAAUAUUGCACAAUGGGCGCAAGCCUGAUGCAGCGACGCCGCGUGAGGGAUGACGGCCUUCGGGUUGUAAGCCUCUUUCAGUAGGGAAGAAGCGAAAGUGACGGUACCUGCAGAAGAAGCACCGGCUAACUACGUG
rnacentral:rRNA from 1 species